GUGCUCAUUUCGGCAGCACAUAUACUAACAUUGGAACAAUACAGAGAUUAAAGGUCUCUGCAUACGGAUGACACACAAAUUCAUGCAGUAUUCCAUUUAUUU